rnacentral:rRNA from 1 species
CACGUAGGGAGCAAGCGUUGUCCGGAUUUACUGGGCGUAAAGAGCUCGUAGGCUGUUCGAUAAGUCGGGUGUGAAACCUCCAGGCUCAACCUGGAGACGCCACCCGAUACUGUCAUGACUAGAGUCCGGUAGGGGAGCGUGGAAUUCCUGGUGUAGCGGUGAAAUGCGCAGAUAUCAGGAGGAACACCAGCGGCGAAGGCGGCGCUCUGGGCCGGUACUGACGCUGAGGAGCGAAAGCGUGGGUAGCAAACAGG